CCUACGGGUGGCAGCAGUGGGGAAUAUUGCACAAUGGGCGCAAGCCUGAUGCAGCCAUGCCGCGUGUGUGAAGAAGGCCUUCGGGCUGUAAAGCACUUUCAGCGGGGAGGAAGGCGUUAAGGUUAAUAACCUUGUCGAUUGACGUUACCCGCAGAAGAAGCACCGGCUAACUCCGUGCCAGCAGCCGCGGUAAUACGGAGGGUGCAAGCGUUAAUCGGAAUUACUGGGCGUAAAGCGCACGCAGGCGGUCUGUCAAGUCGGAUGUGAAAUCCCCGGGCUCAACCUGGGAACUGCAUUCGAAACUGGCAGGCUAGAGGCUUGUAGAGGGGGGUAGAAUUCCAGGUGUAGCGGUGAAAUGCGUAGAGAUCUGGAGGAAUACCGGUGGCGAAGGCGGCCCCCUGGACAAAGACUGACGCUCAGGUGCGAAAGCGUGGGGAGCAAACAGGAUUAGAUACCCGGGUAGUC
rnacentral:rRNA from 1 species